rnacentral:rRNA from 1 species
GACAGAGGGUGCAAACGUUGUUCGGAAUUACUGGGCGUAAAGCGCGCGUAGGCGGACCUGCAAGUCGGGGGUGAAAGCCCGAGGCUCAACCUCGGAACUGCCUUCGAUACUGCGGGUCUCGAGUCCGGGAGAGGUGAGUGGAAUUCCUAGUGUAGAGGUGAAAUUCGUAGAUAUUAGGAAGAACACCAGUGGCGAAGGCGGCUCACUGGCCCGGUACUGACGCUGAGGCGCGAAAGCGUGGGUAGCAAACAGG